UCCGGUUUAACACCGGCAGUCUCGUUAGAGUGCCCACCAUUACAUGCUGGCAACUAACGAUAAGGGUUUCGCUCGUUAUGGGACUUAACCCGACACUUCACAGCACGAGCUGACGACAGCCAUGCAGCACCUGUGAUAGUUCUGGAUUGGAUACCAGUCAUAGGCGUUUCCGCUUCUUACUUCUACCAUGUCAAGUCCAGGAUAAGGUUCUUCGCGUUGCUUCGAAUUGAGCCACAUGCUCCACCGCUUGUGUGAGCCCCCGUCAAUUCCUUUGAGUUUUAGCCUUGCGACCGUACUUCCCAGGUGGCAGACUUAACAAUUUCGCUCCGACCGCAACGGGGUAAGACCCGCUGCAAUCUAGUCUGCAUCGUUUAGGGCGUGGACUAC
rnacentral:misc_RNA from 1 species